rnacentral:rRNA from 1 species
UACGUAGGUGGCAAGCGUUGUCCGGAUUUACUGGGCGUAAAGGGCGUGCAGGCGGUCUGUUAAGUUCAGGGUGAAAGCUCCCGGCUCAACUGGGAGAGGUCCUUGGAUACUGGCAGACUUGAGGGAGGUAGAGGAGAGUGGAAUUCCCGGUGUAGUGGUGAUAUGCGUAGAUAUCGGGAGGAACACCGGUGGCGAAGGCGGCCCCCUGGUUGGAUACUGACGCUGAGACGCGAAAGCGUGGGGAGCAAACAGG